rnacentral:lncRNA from 1 species
GAGUAAUAUAUUAUAAAUUUAUGAUUACAAGCCAAAAAGAAAGAGAGACAUAUGGCUAGAAACAACUUAAUAAUAACAAUGUGGAUUAUUGGAUCAGUUAUGUAUGUUGCAACUGCUGAAGUCUAUGGCAACAUUCCUAAACAAUCACGGAUUCCAUCAUAUUAUGUUGCAUCAGUGGAACGACAACAAUGUAUUCAAGAUUGUAAAAUGCACAUACCGGAACCAAUAAUUUUGGCAUUGUGCAUUAGUUUAUGUGAAAAGAUGAAUCCACAUGACUAGUGCUUGGGUAGUGGUAAGCAUCUAAGUUAUAAUGAAUGCUUUUGGGAUUUUGUGAAAUUUUUUGGCUUAUAUUAUCUCAUGAAUAUUUGAUGUGACAAACUCUUCUUUAUUUUAUGAUUAUCGAAAGACCAAUAAAAAAGAGUAUAGUUUCGUAUUAUUAUUAGUGCGGAUGAUUUUAAUGCGGAUCAGAUCAAGAUUUUAGUCAUAUUAAUCUGAAUUGAUCCGUGAACUCUCUUAAGUGAUAUCUUUACAGAUCUUGAUGACAUCAUUGACCUUAGCAACUAAUGUAAGUCUAAAACAAGUGAUUUUAGUUAUUCAAGUGAUGCUACUCAUUUGGAUGAAGCAAAUUUAUCUUAGAAGAAUGUUAAUUAAAAAUCUAUUAUUUUAGAUUUGUUUUUUCUUCUUCUUUGUUAGCUUUUUUUUCUUUGGUUGUAGUUUUCAAUUUUUUUGAAACUUUUGUAUUUUUUUUAUUAAUGGUAAUUUUUUAUUUUCGUAAUAAAGAUAUGGAUAUUUUUCACGCUUCGUUCAAAUUCAACAAUGAAGAAGUAUGUCUCGCUGACAAUGCUUCAACGCAUACAAUACUUAGAGAUAAAAGAUAUUUUUCUCUCUUAUUAUAAAGAAAACAAAUAUAUGUAUGAUUGUUGGUAGUGCAAAAAUGAUUGAAGGC